GGGGUGGGGCUGUGAGCACCUGGUAAAGGUUGAGAAUGGGAGUUUGUGCUUUCAAGAAUCCUUGGGAACAGAUCGGAAUUGCGGGUUUUUGGAGUUUGGGCAGGGUGUGAGUGCUGACCUACGUGGGUGGAGCUAUUGGGAUACUAGGGCGGAGCUUUGGAUUCCAACUUAACUUGGCCCAGAUCUACUUAAGGACAAGGAAGGACUGUGCAGGUUGAACUGGUGGGCCAGACUGUCAGUACUCAGUAAGGUGGUCAGGGCCUCCAACGUACCAGCCAGUGCUGUGUGUGGUGAGAUUAUGUUGAUAGAGCUAAGCUUUGGAUCGUGGCAUUACUUGUUGGAGGACUACAGGAGGAGGAAGGCUUGCCUGUGCGUGUGAGCCGGAUUAGAAAUGAUGGGCGGGGCUGUGUAUGCUGAGAUAGAUUGCUGACAUAUGAAGUAGGAACAGAGCUUUGGAUAGUGACAUAGUAAAGUCCCAGAAAUUCUGAAAGAGAAUGACAGUGUCGUUUGAGAUGUAAGAGCCAGGUUUUGGGUUGUGGAUGGGGCUGUUAAUGCCAGUUUGGAUCUCUAAAGUGCUGGCCAGGACUGUGAAUUGUGAGUGUGACAGCAGGGCUGAGCAAUCCUGAUAGAAUGUGAUAGAAGACCACUUAAGGAAUAGGACGUGGAUGUGGAUGCUGACAUAAGAGUACGGAUUGUGUAUGCUGGACAGGAUGGGUGCACUACUGUGAGUAGUGCUAUAUGAAGCAAGGGAGGAGGAGUCUGGUCAUUUGUGAUGAUGCAGGAGUGGCGGGUAGGACACUGCUUUCUGAGUUAGUUGUGGUGAGUAGUACUGUGUAGGUUGUUGUCUGAUGAUGGGCAGUACUGUGCACACAGUGUGGUUGGAGUGGUGGGAGGGGUGUGGGUUUGAAGGUAGGAGAGGUGGGUGUUGUUGCGAAUGUUGCUCAGGGCACCCAGGGUUUACAGAGUACUGGGAAAGGUCUAUAGGUAUUUCUGGAGGGGGAGGGAGACAUCUGAAUACUGACAUACCAUGACAGAGGAUCACUGGAGAGGGAAGAACAAGACUGUAUGCUGAAGUAGGAGUGGUGGGCUUAGCUGUGAGUGCUGACCUAGGUGAGCUGUCUCGAGAGUAACAGGGAUGGUUGUCAAUGGUAAGAUAUGAAGUGGGGAUUGAACUUUGGAUAUUAAUACAAGAUGAUGCAGGACCACUGGAAGUGGGGGGCAGAGAAGUGUAUGCUGAAGUGGGGGUGAUUGGUGAAGUAUGAAGUAGAGCUUUGAAUACUGUCAUAAUAAAUUUCAGACUGCUGAUGUAGGGCUGGGCUUUGAGUGCUCACCUCCAUGGGUGAGUCAAUGGAAGCAGUGUUGUAGGACAAAGGAAGACAGCAGUGAAUUCUAACCUAACAAGACUCAUGCUAAUGGAGAAGCCCAGCUGAGUGUGUUGAGAUUAGCACUAGAGGCAGAGAUAAAGGAAAAUCAGGGUGGGCCUGUGAGUACUGUGGUUGACCUGGGGGCAGGGAGUGGGCUCCUGAGUAAGCAAGAUAAAGUUGUUAGUGGCAGAGUAGAUGGGAGAGGAAGAAGUUUAGGGCAGACCCCUGGAUUAAAAAGUAAGGCAUUUGGAAUGGGGCUGCAGGAAGAGGAGCUAAGCCGGACUGUGAGAGCUGAGGUGGGGAUGUGGAAAGUGUCCUAUAAGUUGCUGUAUAGAUAUGGGUGGGGCUUGGGAGGAGCAGGGUAGAGCAGGGUAGGGACCUUUUAGGUAUGUCAAAGAAGCUUGUAGAGUAGCUACUUGGAGUUGGAAGGAGGCACUCAGAGAUUGUGAGGCACAUCCUUAAGUAAGAGAGGCAAAGUAAGAAGAGAAGGAUGCCUUAGGGACCUAACCAUAUCCUGAGGGUGAUCUCCAGGGGACACCUUAGAGGGCAUGAAUGCUGCAAAAAAAAAAAAAAGGCCAGGAACUUUUGUCUGGGACUCAGGUAUACUUAAGCUAAGUCUUAAAGGGUAAGACUCAAUUCCUGAGGAGGUCAGCCUCCUUUUCUCCAAGCCCUGCUGUCUAAAAGUACCAAUGGUCCUAAUCUUACUAAGGUUUAUUUCAAGUGCGAAUUUGGCAGCCAACUCUGGAUCCCUACCUCUGCGGUGCCUAGAAGAAAAUAUGGCUGUCUUCUUGUUUGCCAGGGCUACCCAAGGUCAAAGAAUAUCCUAUUACCCAUCCAUACAGCCCAUACACCUCCCCAAGUUCUGGCAAAUGGGAUCAUAUAGUACUACCCGGAGCCCUACAUUUAUUGCUGGUUUUGACAUUUCAUAUGGACGAGAAGAAGCUGUGCCUCAGGAACCCUAGACAUGGAUGGACUACUUAGUCUAUUGGCAUCCAUGUAAUGCAGUACCAGGCCUUAAUUGACCAUGAACUCUCCUAGAGCAUGCAAAAGCAACUGUAUCAUCGUGGGUCAUCUAAGAAGACACAGAGGUUCUUCGUCUUCCUCCGGGGCUCCACGGUCUCUGAUGAGAAGGCCCCAUCUUUCUAAUUGUUUUAGGCAUAUCAAUAUAGGAUCAUUUCUCUUCGAGUGCUUCUAAGCUGGAAUCCUGUGACACACAGAUGUGAUGGAAUCCAGCACAUCAGAGGAAAGAGGAGAGGCACUACUCCCUGAGUGAAUGGUGAUUCCACAUCUUCAUCUGUCCUCUUGAUUUCCAAGACUCCCUCCAUCUCCAGGGAAACUUCAAGUGAUUUCUCAUUGAGGUGCAAUGUGGGCUUCUGAGCAGGAGGACUUUACUGUUGCCUUCAGGCCUUAUAUGAUUUUUUUUGAAGGAACUCCAUUGCCAACAUCCUGUAUGCUUAACUUUAGAGUCAAUUUUCUUUUGUGAACAUGCAUGUAAGUGUUUCCUAUGCUCAGAGGCCAGGGGUCUUGGGUGUCUGUCUCUAUUACUGUCUGCCUUGUUUCUUUUAUACAAAACUUGUCCCUGC
rnacentral:sRNA from 1 species